rnacentral:rRNA from 1 species
CAGCCGCCGCGGUAAUACAGAGGGUGCGAGCGUUAAUCGGAUUUACUGGGCGUAAAGCGUGCGUAGGCGGCUUCUUAAGUCGGAUGUGAAAUCCCUGAGCUUAACUUAGGAAUUGCAUUCGAUACUGGGAAGCUAGAGUAUGGGAGAGGAUGGUAGAAUUCCAGGUGUAGCGGUGAAAUGCGUAGAGAUCUGGAGGAAUACCGAUGGCGAAGGCAGCCAUCUGGCCUAAUACUGACACUGAGGUGCGAAAGCGUGGGGAGCAAACAGGAUUAGAUACCCCUGUAGUCCCUGUCUCUUAUAC